rnacentral:rRNA from 1 species
UACAGAGGCCCCGAGCGUUAUCCGGAUUUAUUGGGCGUAAAGGGAGUGCAGGCGGGAUAGAACGUCUGUUGUUAAAUGCUGGGGCUUAACCUCAGCGCUGCAAUAGAUACGGCUAUUCUUGAGAUAGGGAGAGGUAAACGGAACUCAUAGUGGAGCGGUGAAAUGCGUUGAUAUUAUGGGGAACACCAAUAGCGAAGGCAGUUUACUGGUCCUAUUCUGACGCUAAAACUCGACAGCGUGGGGAGCGAAG